GCCAGGUAUGGUGGCUAACUCCUGUAAUCCCAGCAUCUUUGGAGGCUGAGACAGGAGGAUCACAAGUUCAAAACCAGCCUCAGCAAUUUAUCGAGGCCCUUAGCAAUUUAGUGAGACCCUGCCUCAA
rnacentral:sRNA from 1 species